rnacentral:rRNA from 1 species
GAUGAACGCUGGCGGCGUGCCUAAUACAUGCAAGUCGAGCGAAUGGAUUAAGAGCUUGCUCUUAUGAAGUUAGCGGCGGACGGGUGAGUAACACGUGGGUAACCUGCCCAUAAGACUGGGAUAACUCCGGGAAACCGGGGCUAAUACCGGAUAACAUUUUGAACCGCAUGGUUCGAAAUUGAAAGGCGGCUUCGGCUGUCACUUAUGGAUGGACCCGCGUCGCAUUAGGUAGUUGGUGAGGUAACGGCUCACCAAGGCAACGAUGCGUAGCCGACCGGAGAGGUGGAUCGGCCACACUGGGACUGAGACACGGCCCAGACUCCUACGGGAGGCAGCAGUAGGGAAUCUUCCGCAAUGGACGAAAGUCUGACGGAGCAACGCCGCGUGAGUGAUGAAGGCUUUCGGGUCGUAAAACUCUGUUGUUAGGGAAGAACAGGUGCUAGUUGAAUAAGCUGGCACCUUGACGGUACCUAACCAGAAAGCCACGGCUAACUACGUGCCAGCCGCCGCGGUAA